UCUAUAACUCAAGAUAUGGACUGAACACUAAAUAGUGUCUGGGCUGCAAGACAGAUUCUGACUUCUCUAUUGUUUUUACAAUUUGAACUUGAAAACGGUCCUUUUGAAUCUUAGACUCUUCAUGAAAGUUUUAGACCUAUGUCUUAGCUUUCUAUC
rfam:Populus trichocarpa scaffold_10_contig_132, whole genome shotgun sequence.